rnacentral:rRNA from 1 species
GACGAACGCUGGCGGCGUGCUUAACACAUGCAAGUCGAACGGAAAGGCCCUGCUUUUGUGGGGUGCUCGGGUGGCGAACGGGUGAGUAACACGUGAGUAACCUGCCCUUGACUUUGGGAUAACUUCAGGAAACUGGGGCUAAUACCGGAUAGGGGCUCCUGCUGCAUGGUGGGGGUUGGAAAGUUUCGGCGGUUGGGGAUGGACUCGCGGCUUAUCAGCUUGUUGGUGGGGUAGUGGCUUACCAAGGCUUUGACGGGUAGCCGGCCUGAGAGGGUGACCGGCCACAUUGGGACUGAGAUACGGCCCAGACUCCUACGGGAGGCAGCAGUGGGGAAUAUUGCACAAUGGGCGGAAGCCUGAUGCAGCAACGCCGCGUGCGGGAUGACGGCCUUCGGGUUGUAAACCGCUUUCGCCUGUGACGAAGCGUGAGUGACGGUAAUGGGUAAAGAAGCACCGGCUAACUACGUG